UACGGAGGGGGCUAGCGUUGUUCGGAAUUACUGGGCGUAAAGAGCUCGUAGGCGGUCUGUCGCGUCUGCUGUGAAAACUCGGGGCUCAACCCCGGGCCUGCAGUGGGUACGGGCAGACUAGAGUGCGGUAGGGGAGACUGGAAUUCCUGGUGUAGCGGUGAAAUGCGCAGAUAUCAGGAGGAACACCGGUGGCGAAGGCGGGUCUCUGGGCCGUAACUGACGCUGAGGAGCGAAAGCGUGGGGAGCGAACAGG
rnacentral:rRNA from 1 species